rnacentral:misc_RNA from 1 species
GCAACAUCAAACAUCAACAUGCCUAAUUUCUUCAAGAAAUCCCGAUGGCCAAAGGUGUGGAGCAAGAACGCGAACUGGAUCGGAUACGUGGCGGUAUCGAGCGAAGAGAAAUCGAAACAGCUAGGGCGGCGAGACAUCGUGGUGGCGUGGAGAGGAACGGUGACGCGGCUGGAAUGGAUUGUGGAUCUGAUGGAUUUUCUGAAACCU